rnacentral:lncRNA from 1 species
GUACACACCCUGUAUGGUAGGGGUUAGGGUUAGAGUUAACACUAGGUACACACCCUGUAUGGUAGGGGUUAGGGUUAACACUAGGUACACAUCCUGUAUGGUAGGGGUUAGGGUUAUAGUUAACACUAGGUACACACCCUGUAUGGUAGGGGUUAGGGUUAACACUAGGUACACAUCCUGUAUGGUAGGGGUUAGGGUUAACACUAGGUACACACCCUGUAUGGUAGGGGUUAGAGUUAACACUAGGUACACACCCUGUAUGGUAGGGGUUAGGGUUAACACUAGGUACACAUCCUGUAUGGUAGGGGUUAGAGUUAACACUAGGUACACACCCUGUAUGGUAGGGGUUAUAGUUAACACUAGGUACACACCCUGUAUGGUAGGGGUUAGAGUUAACACUAGGUACACACCCUGUAUGGUAGGGGUUAGGGUUAACACUAGGUACACACCCUGUAUGGUAGGGGUUAGAGUUAACACUAGGUACACAUCCUGUAUGGUAGGGGUUAGAGUUAACACUAGGUACACACCCUGUAUGGUAGGGGUUAGAGUUAACACUAGGUACACAUCCUGUAUGGUAGGGGUUAGAGUUAACACUAGGUACACAUCCUGUAUGGUAGGGGUUAGAGUUAGAGUUAACACUAGGUACACACCCUGUAUGGUAGGGGUUAGAGUUAACACUAGGUACACACCCUGUAUGGUAGGGGUUAGGGUUAACACUAGGUACACAUCCUGUAUGGUAGGGGUUAGAGUUAACACUAGGUACACAUCCUGUAUGGUAGGGGUUAGGGUUAGAGUUAACACUAGGUACACACCCUGUAUGGUAGGGGUUAGAGUUAACACUAGGUACACACCCUGUAUGGUAGGGGUUAGGGUUAACACUAGGUACACAUCCUGUAUGGUAGGGGUUAGGGUUAUAGUUAACACUAGGUUAUACAUUACAUACAGUACUACUACCACUGUCUUUACCAUCACACACACACACACUCUGUCCUUACUGACACACUCAAUCACACACAUACACACUAACACACUCUGUCCUUACUGAGACACACUCACACGCUCACACAAACUCUAUCCUUACUGACACUCACACACACACACACACACACACACACACACACACACACACACACA